CGGCCUCCGCUCGUCAUCCCAUUCUCUGCUUUCCCCGGCACGUCAUUGGCUGCGGCUCCGCAGAAAAGUCCGCGGAGCCCCGCCCACAAUGACAGUACCAGCGGAUAGCGGGAGGCAGCCUUGGCACCGACUGGCUGCUGGCACCCUGGCGGAGGGCCGCUCGCGGCCGCCUGGGCUCCCCGACGAGCCCCCACUCUGGCGGAAGAAUACCGGGGGGCGGCGCGGGGGGGCAGGCUGAUGGGGGUCUGCGCUGUGCUGGAUGCCGGGGAGGAACCAUGUCGCAGCUGGGAGGGACCCCAGAAAAGGCAAUGUCAGAGGUUCCACAACUAUAAAAAGGGGCAAGAGUAUAGAUGAAUUUCAAGAUGACUUCCAGUACUGAAUUUUAUGACUUUUUCUACUUUUGGCAGUUCAAAAAGAUGUUAGUAAUAUGAAGAGAAUUCACAGAAGGAAGACAAUUAAGGUGAUGAUGGAUUUCAAGUCUUUGAUGAUUGAUUAAAGCAACUGGGAUGAAUAAGAGAUGACUUAGAGGUGGUGAUGGAUCUUCAAAUCUCAGACUGAGAGGGUUCUUCAGAGGCCAUCUAAUCUGACCCCUCCCUAAAGUAUAGAUAUUCUUUACAACGUUCCCAACAAACAGGCAACUAAUGUCAGUUUAAAGAUUUUCAGUGCAGGAGAGCUCACUUACCUUACAAAGUACACUUCCCAUGCUGUUUUGGACAGCUCUAGCCUAAGCUGAUUCUUGUUUUCACUCAGCUAAAACUGCCUCCCAACCUUAAGUUUGAACUUGUGAAGUUCAAAUGAUGAUGUCACCCACUCAAUAAAUAAUAUUUGAAGAAUAAUUUGCAAACAUUAA
rnacentral:lncRNA from 1 species